rnacentral:rRNA from 1 species
AGCAGCCGCGGUAAUUCCAGCUCCAAUAGCGUAUAUUAAAGUUGUUGCAGUUAAAAAGCUCGUAGUUGAAUUUCGGGGUCAGUAGGCUGGUCGUGCCACAGGUAUGUACUGGUCUUACUGAUUCCUCCUUCCUGAUGAACCGUAAUGCCAUUAAUUUGGUGUUGCGGGGAAUCUGGACUGUUACUUUGAAAAAAUUAGAGUGUUUAAAGCAGGCUAACGCUUGAAUACAUUAGCAUGGAAUAAUGAAAUAGGACGAUCGAUCCUAUUUUGUUGGUUUCUAGGAUUGACGUAAUGAUUAAUAGGGAUAGUUGGGGGCAUUAGUAUUCAAUUGUCAGAGGUGAAAUUCUUGGAUUUAUUGAAGACUAACUACUGCGAAAGCAUUUGCCAAGGAUGUUUUCAUUAAUCAAGAACGAAAGUUAGGGGAUCGAAGACGAUCAGAUACCGUCGUAGUCUUAACCAUAAACUAAUGCCGACUAGGGAUCGGAUGAUGUUAAUUUUUAAUUGACUCAUUCGGCGCCUU